ensembl:lncRNA
CCUGACCCCUACAAUGAGUGUACCAAUAAGCCUUUAUCCUUGGAAGCUGGGUCCAGUCUUGUAUACCACCUGAUCCCUGAAAGAAAACUCAGCCAGUAUAAAAUCCUGGAUUUUCUUCCUUCAAGGUUGAAAAGCUAAGACCGCUUCAAGUCCAUUGAGUCCAUUAGGGCUCCACAGGGCGGGCUGAGUAGGACACACUGCUUGGCAGGCUUGCAGGGACACUUGGAAGACCUUCUGCACCUCUUUUUGGGAGUGUGAAGAGAGUGACCCUGAGUGAGACAGCAGUCCUUGACAUACUCGUGCCACAUGUACACCUUUGGACAUGGGAAUGAACUUGUGAAUGGAAGAUACCCAAGAUGAAAGGAAUGUGAAAGAAUUUCAGCCUUCCCUGCCCACCCCUGUUAAGGACUUCUUAAUCUCUGAAGAGAAGAAAGAGGCGCAUGACCCCGAAGAAUCAAUAUGAUGCAUGGAAGGCUGUCCCCACCCACAUCCAUUGACUACGGAAAUUAUGCCAAAUCAGCAUCCACACUGCUCUACACAGAGCAAAAUAUAGGCAGGGAAAGGCUGAGGGUCUGUGUGAUUCAGAGAAAGGAUGAUACUGCCUCUGUGCCAGACUAUCUUCUUUGUCAUGGGAUGCAUGAAGAUGCAGCUUCUCUGCAGGGAAAACUACGGAUGGUAAUGUAUUAUUGAAGAAAAGCAUAGUGCUUUGGCUCAGAUUUCGAUUCCCAUUAUAAGGUAAUGCUGUGACAAUGUUCUGUUAAUACAAUGAAUUUUGGCAGUGUUUUGCUUCAUUGCCCUUUUUAACAAAAUAGAGGGUAAAAUAGUAAUGAUAGAUCUGCUUAGUGAGUUAACUCAGGUGGCAGCCUUGUUUCUCAUAUCCAGACCACAGAAGAGCCCUCUUGACUGGACCUUGCACCUGCUUGUACUUGUGACUUUUCCUGUUCCCUGAAAGACAAUCCGAUCUGCAUUGCAGAUGAAUCUUUAAUCCUCAGGUCCUACUGGAGCAUAGCAUUGCAAACAGCUGGCUUGAGAGCUGCAGGCCGUUCAGCAUGAUUUGAGGCUGUGAAUACACAUCAUCUCCUGGUUACAAGUGUAUCUGCAGGUUGCUACCCCUUUGCCACCCCUUCUCUGUGUCACUGCCUUCCCACUCAAAUGAAAUCCUUAAACAGGAAAGACACAUGCCAAAGCCACUCUGACGAAAAAUACCAGGUUGCAUACUAGCAGCUGAUUUCCUUACUCACUUUUUCUGCCUCAAACCAAUUCAUAAAGUCAUUUGCUAAACCUAAUUAGCUUUCCCACCUCGGUAGCUAUCUCUUUUGCAAGGCUUUAUUUAAAAUCACACACAAGUGGGCAAAAUCAGCAGCCAUUUAUCAACCAGCUAUCCCUCAGAAAGAGAAUGUAGGGCUUCGACAGUCCUCCAAGUUUAAUGGUCUUGUCUUUCCUCUGAAAUUGAGUUAGACCACCGAACGUGCUUAUCUUUGUCACAUAUCAGCCCUAUUUUGCAGCCAGGCUGCUACUCUCUCUUGCAGCCCUGAACACAGUAUCAAAAAAGAUUCUCAUGUUUUUUUGAGAAAUCUUGCAUAUGAAUGAAAUCCAUCUUUUGACUACCUGGUUCUCUCAUUCAUGGUCAAAACACAAGAGAAGGAAAAUCAGCUCAGAGAUUUUGCAUGGGUCACUUAGCAACCAAAGGGUGAGCACAGAAUGAGUUUCCAUCUGAGACCAAAUACCAGGUGUUGAAGAAGGAACGUGGAAAAAGAUCCUUUCAAAUUUGUGGUAGUUUUGGUAAAAAAAUGUUGCAGUGUUUUCCUGAGAUGAAUGAGGGAAGCUUCUUCUUUACUUUAAACUUGAGUUAGAUUUUGAAAUGAGUCCCAGCAGAAGGAAAAAAAUCCUAUCAGAUAAAGAGGUUUCUAUACCAACAGGAAAUUUCUGCUGUUUGCAGUGGCUGGGGAGCUUGGAUUAGGGUCUUUUUUUUCUGAGAGUCACAGUAUUUGUUCUUAAUCAUGUCAUUUUGGGCUCACAAGUGCAGCCUCAGAUUGGAGGAGAAAAAAAAAAAAAAAAACAGAGGAAACAAUUAUGGUUGGUAAGAUGGAUAGUAGAGAAUAAGAAGUGAGAACGUUGUGCAAGAUGUCACUCAAAGGAGCUCCUGUGAGCUCCAAGAGAUACAGGUCUUCUUUAUCCAUCCAUGCCUCACUGCGCUCCUGGUUUUGUAGUUAAUUAACAUCUCUACUCACUGGAAUUUCAGCAUUAGCAAUUCACUUAAUAUUAAGUGAAGUAUGUGAGUGGCACUGCUGAGAGGGAUGCAAUACCAGAGGUUGCUCAAUCACACUGAAAGGUUAUUUUAAUAUGCUGCUCAUUUACACUUCCUUAAUUGCCUACAAAUGGUUACAGCAAGUGGACUCUGGCACCAGCUUUUUGUGAGAGCCUGGAUGAAUCAAACAUCCAUCAGCUCUGCAAAAAAGAUGAGAUGUUUUUUGCUGCAGAGUGACCUUUAACUCACUAGAUCCUUGAAGAAAGUUGAUGCAUGUGCUCUGAUUCAAAUGCAUGUCUCCAUUUUUGAAGAUCCACGUAUCUCUUACUCUGUUGAAAAGCAAGAGAAUAGGCACUAAAAGAAAAGAUACAUUUAAUUCUGCUUUACCAAUAUAUCACCCUCUUUUUUAAGCAGUUCUCUGAGUAGCUUCUUCCUUUUCAUAAUCUAAAAACCUAUUUUAAUGCAUGGAUCCUUUGACAUUAUUUCCCUUCAGGGAAAAACUUUUAUCUUUCCAGGAAAGAAAAUAAAGGAAAAAUAUUCUUUCUUUCUAAAAGAAAA